UAGAAAAUGUUGGAAGAGCGGAGUGAGGCAAGCGGGGUAGAGAGAGAAGAGCGAUUUAGAGAGGCGUUCAUUUGGGUGACGCUGCUCUUAGUUGCGCGGCUCCUGGGCCGGGUGUGUGUCUGCCCUGGUAUGAUGCGCCCUGCUGUGAUGCGCUCUGCUCUUUUUCUGCCUUUGGUCCCCCACGGUGGACACUCGGUGGAGUUUUUGCUUGUAUUGAGGGCUUGGGGGGAGGGGGAGAGCGGAAGUAUUUUUUCCUUCCUUUCGUCUCUCUCCCCCCCCGCGGGAGGCACAACCAAACUUUUUUUUACGUGACACACAACCUCUCAAAACAGAAUUCGGAAAACGAAUUUAGCAAUAUUCAAAACUUUCAACAACGGAUCUCUUGGUUCUCGCAUCGAUGAAGAACGCAGCGAACUGCGAUACGUAAUGUGAAUUGCAGAAUUCCGUGAAUCAUCGAAUCUUUGAACGCACAUUGCGCCCCUUGGUAUUCCAGGGGGCAUGCCUGUUUGAGCGUCAUUUCCCUCUCAAACGCUUGCGUUUGGUAGUGAGCGAUACUCUUUUUUGUUUUAUCUUGAGGAGUUUGCUUGAAAGUGGGAGGCCAUAGGCGGAGCCUAGCUUGAGCGUGUGGUGGAGGAACUGUGCCGAGAGGUGCAGGGCCGUGCUGCAACGCCUGGCCACGAAAACGAAGUCGUAUUAGGUUUUACCGACUCGGCGAAGGAAGUAGUGGACGGGGGGAAAAGAGCGGAGCUUUCUCUGGCUUGAGAGAAUUCACAAAGUUGACCUCAAAUCA
rnacentral:misc_RNA from 1 species